rnacentral:rRNA from 1 species
GAAACUGCGAAUGGCUCAUUAAAUCAGUUAUAGUUUAUUUGAUAAUAUUCUUACAUGGAUAACUGUAGUAACAUAGAGCUAAUACAUGCUGUCAGGCCCGACCUUCGGAAGGGCUGCAUUUAUUAGAUCCAAACUAAUAAUCCGCAAGGAUUAUUGUGAUGAUUCAUAAUAACUGAGCAGAUCGAAGCAACGCUUCGACGUAUCAUUCAAGUUUCUGCCCUAUCAGCUUUCGAUGGUAGUGUAUUGGACUACCAUGGCAAUUACGGGUAACGGGGAAUUAGGGUUCGAUUCCGGAGAGGGAGCCUGAGAAAUGGCUACCACAUCUAUGGAAGGCAGCAGGCGCGUAAAUUACCCAAUCCUGAUUCAGGGAGGUAGUGACAAGAAAUAACAACCUGGGGCUUCACCGCUUACGGGAUUGCAAUGAAAACAAUUUAAAUAACUUAUUGAGGAACAAUUGGAGGGCAAGUCUGGU